rnacentral:rRNA from 1 species
CGAGGUCUUCGGACCUAGUGGCGCACGGGUGAGUAACAUGUGGGAAUCUACCUGAAGGUUCGGAAUAACUGCGGGAAACUGUAGCUAAUACCGGAUGUGUCUGCAAAGAGAAAGAUUUAUCGCCUUCAGAUGAGCCCGCACUAGAUUAGCUAGUUGGUGAGGUAAUUGCUCCACCAAGGCUACGAUCUAUAGCUGGUUUUAGAGGAUGAUCAGCAACACUGGGACUGAGACACGGCCCAGACUCCUACGGGAGGCAGCAGUGGGGAAUCUUAGACAAUGGGCGCAAGCCUGAUCUAGCCAUGCCGCGUGAGUGAUGAAGGCCUUAGGGUCGUAAAGCUCUUUCGCCUGUGAUGAUAAUGACAGUAGCAGGUAAAGAAACCCCGGCUAACUCCGUGCCAGCAGCCGCGGUAAUACGGAGGGGGUUAGCGUUGUUCGGAAUUACUGGGCGUAAAGCGCACGUAGGCGGAUUGGAAAGUUGGGGGUGAAAUCCCGGGGCUCAACCCCGGAACUGCCUCCAAAACUAUCAGUCUAGAGUUCGAGAGAGGUGAGUGGAAUUCCAAGUGUAGAGGUGAAAUUCGUAGAUAUUUGGAGGAACGCCAGUGGCGAAGGCGGCUCACUGGCUCGAUACUGACGCUGAGGUGCGAAAGUGUGGGGAGCAAACAGGAUUAGAUACCCUGGUAGUCCACACCGUAAACGAUGAAUGCCAGUCGUCGGGCAGUAUACUGUUCGGUGA